UCACGCGGUUGGGAAGAGAUGCGCGGUAGCCACCGUCAAACGGUAUUUCCACCAUGCGGACACAAUAGAUGUAAACCACCCAGCGAACAAAGAUAACAGUAAAAGGUAGCAAAUAAUUAGGAAGUGAUCAGUUGUAAGUAAUUCUUGCCUUUGUUUUUAAUAUAAUUUAUUAAAUUGUAAAUUUAAAUAUUUUAAUUUUUUUUUUUUUUUUUGAGACAGCGUCUCAAUCUGUCACCCAGGCUGCAGUGCAGUGGCAUGGUCACAGCUCACUGCAAUCUUGAACUGCUGGACUCAAGGGAUUCUCCCACCUCGCCCUUACCAGUAGCUGGGACUACAGGAUGACGUAGCACAAACGCCCUUGAUACAUGGGGGCCCCUCGACCUCAGACUUCCCAGCCUCCAGAAUGGCCAUGGCUUUGAAUGUGGCGUGUGGGAUCUCUGGCGGGUCAUCGUCACAGAGCUCUGCAAAGCAAAAGAAGCCUAUUAGGAACUCAAGAGGCCCCAGACUCUGCCCAGCACCUUGUCCUCCGGAAGACCAUCCCCAUCCAAUGGCUCAGGACUCUCCUGUCUCCCCUAAGAACUGAAGGAGUUCUGUAUGCAGCUGAAGGGUAACAUCCCUUGGGAGCUUUUGCCUUGUCUGGCUGACGCCUUGGCAAUCGCAAGUGACAGUGACGGAGAGCCACCUCCUCUGGAAUGCAUCAUGGAACAGAAAGGGAAAAGCCAGGCAUUUGUAGUCCUCCUGCCACAGAUGACCAGAAUGACCUCACCCAGGACAAACGGCGACAGAUUUAGGAAUUCAAGCCAGCUUUUCUGACUCCCAGGCACCUGCUCUCUCCUUUCGAGUGUUCGACUCCACUCUCAGUCACUCGUCACUCUUCCCAGAAGGACAAAUGUGCAGCUUCUAUGUCUUGGAUUUCAAAUAAAAGACGAGGAACUUGGUGAAAUGAGGUGGUCUUUGCCUUCCGCGUCACUCUCUGCUCCUCCUGGCAAGAGGCCCCAUUUUUCUUGCCACUGAGGUUAAGUGAAAACAAAACAAAACAAACAAACAAAAAAGAGGCCCCAUUCACAGUAAAGAUAAACAGCAGCCUGGGCAGGCCAGCGGCUCUUCCCUGACGUGGAAUUAUGAGCCCUCUUUCUUCGAUUUUGCCACAUACCCGCAGCUGCACUCCCAUAAUCUGAAAGCUGUCCCUUUAAUUUUUACCACUUCAUUAUUAGAAUUGGAGUAGAAUGAAAAUUAAUUUUUCCCUGAGCUAUUUUUGUGUCCCUUGAGUUAACCAGAAAUACCAACCCUGGAAAGAGAUGUGGGGGACAGUCAUUUUAGAGAGCGGACACCACUGCUGAAGAAGAAGGAUAUCCCGGUUGGCUGCUCUAGAGCCGGCAGGACGGAUGCUGAGGUUGUUCGCAGCAGCGUGUGUGCAGAGCCCCCGGGAUCUUGCAGACUGGGAUUUGUCAGGGCAGGUGUGGACAUUGAGGCUAUUUCUAACAAGCUCCUACAUGAUGCUGGGGCUGCAGAGCCCCAGGCCGCACUUGGAGUAUGAGAGUUUCCAGGGAGUGAAGCCCCGGCUGCUCUCUCUGCCCCCUCUCCAUCUGCCCCCUGGGUGAGGACAGGACUCCCAUCCCUCCAGUGCACAGUGAGUGCUGCUCAAUCUGCAUCCACAGCGGUUUGUGCCCAGAUGCUUCCUCACUCAGCGUCUAACAGGGUGCAGUGGAAACGUCAUUGACUGGAGGAAAGGUGUGUGGGUGAGAAACGUUUGUCGGUUGAGUAACUUUUUGUCGUUAUUUUUUUUCUCUGAUGUUCAAAGUAAGAGAAAACUCAUCUGGCCCCUGGAGCCCAUGUGAGCAACAUGAAAGAUAAAGGGAAAAGGGGGCUGAUAAAGAUGUGGACCGAGUCUGAGAUAAGAUUCUUUGCCCCUUGGGUGAAUCCAGGUGAAGUUGUUUUACUCUUAGCCCAGCCAGCCCUGGAUAAAGGCUUCAUCCCUCUUCUCUUUCCUGUCCAUAUAUCAGAACUUUAAGCUCUACUUGUACCCAGUGAAGAUUAGAAUAACGCACGGAGCACAGGAAAUGUCUAGGUGAUGAUUUCACUGAGCUUUACAAGGGACACAGGUACGCAUCAAGAGCUUGGGCCACUGGGUAAAGAGGGAUCUGGUUCUUGCUCUAACGCGGUUCAUCUUCUGUGUCAGAAUCAGAUAGAUUCUGGGUGUCAGAGACCCGAAUCUUCCUCUUGUUCCGCUCACUGCCCCCCUGUGGCCCCUUCUCAUUUCAAAUGCUCUGUCUGUAAUAUGAAAUGAAAAGAAUUCCUCCCAGACCCCUAGCCAAAUUUCACCUUAAGCUCGUUGACUCCCAGAGGAAAUCUCUGUGGGAGACUGGAAAGAGGACGCUGGAGCCAGAGGCUAUCUUUGAUAGUGAGGUGAGGUUUACUGUUUAAUAAGAACUCCAAAGAUAUGCCUAAUAUUGAAGGUUGUCUCUCGCUUCCUUGGGAAACCCAAACCAGAAGUUUAGGCCGUAUAGAAAGUAAGUGGUUUGGGUGCAAAAGGGAUGUAGAACAUCCCUUUUAAUGGUAUCAUAGAAUAUGAGAACUAGAAGAGAGCUCAAAGAUCAUUUAGGCCAACCUCUACAUUUUAUAGAUAAGAACACUGGGCCUGUGGUCAUUCCACAAGUUUGUGGCAAGCCUUGGAUUACAACAGAUCACCAGGUUCCCUGACUCCUAGUUCAGUGCUUUUCCAACACCCAGAAUCAUAAUCUUCAGGAAGGAGCGUGCUUUUCACCUAUCUGUUGAAGGUUAUCUCUUAC
rnacentral:lncRNA from 10 species